GUGUGGGAGGAUAUGGGCAGGCAUCUAGAGCAGUGGGCACUUCCGGUGCUUUGGAAAUUCACCCCUGAACAACUGCAAAAUCCUAAAAAACUGGCAGAAUGCUUGAAAAAAAGGUGUCAUGACUCUGGCAGUUCCAAAGUGACACAAAUCACUGUGGCGUGCUGGGGUCUGGCUUGUGCCUAUCGAGCUGCAAUUGAUGCUACUAUCAACCUAGUGACAGCUUCUGCAGCCGCUCCAGUCCCGGCUCCCGCAGCCGUUCCGGCUCCAGCUCCCGCAGCCGCUCCAGCUC